GAUGAACGCUGGCGGCGUGCCUAAUACAUGCAAGUCGAGCGAACAGACGAGGAUCUUGCUCCUCUGACGUUAGCGGCGGACGGGUGAGUAACACGUGGAUAACCUACCUAUAAGACUGGGAUAACUUCUGGAAACCGGAGCUAAUACCGGAUAAUAUAUUGAACCGCAUGGUUCAAUAUUGAAAGACGGUUUUGCUGUCACUUAUUGAUGGAUCCGCGCCGCAUUAGCUAGUUGGUAAGGUAACGGCUUACCAAGGCAACGAUGCGUAGCCGACCUGAGAGGGUGAUCGGCCACACGGGAACUGAGACACGGUCCAGACUCAUACGGGAGGCAGCAGUAGGGAAUCUUCCGCAAUGGGAGAAAGCCUGACGGAGAAACGCCGCGUGAGUGAUGAAGGUCUUCGGAUCGUAAAACUCUGUUAUUAGGGAAGAACAAAUGUGUAAGUAACUAUGCACGUCUUGACGGUACCUAAUCAGAAAGCCACGGCUAACUACGUG
rnacentral:rRNA from 1 species